GCAAAUCAGUUUGUUUUGAAAUAAAAUCUUAUUUUUGGUUUGUAGGUUAAAUUUUAGUGGGAAAAGUAAUUUUAUGUUUAUUAUUUAAGUAGAUUUUAUCGAAAUUUUAUAUUAGGUUAAAGAGUAGAGUAUUGUGAAAGAAUGUUGAAAUAAUUGAAAAUUUAAUUUGAAAAAAGUAGUUUUUAAAAUUCGUACCUUGUGUAUUAUGGGUAAUCAAUAUUAUCUUAAGAUGUAAGAUGUCCCGAAAAAAAAAUAGUUAACUUUUUAUGUUAGUUUUUGUUUCAGAAAAAUUGUUAAUUGAAAGUUAGAGGUGAAAUGUUAUUCGGGUUUUUAUAUCUGGUUUCUUUUGAAAUGAAUUGAAUUCUAUUUAUUUUCUGUCAGGGGGAAUAGGUAAAGUAUUUAGGGGUAGAGCUCUAAGUUCAAAAAUGGUUGAAUAUAAAACUAGUGUAUUAGGUGUAAUGAUUAGGCUUAGAAGUAGCCAUAUUUGUAUAGUGUUUUGACUAAUGAUUUUAAGGUUUAAUAAGAGUUUUUAUGUUUUGUAAGUAGAAAUUAAUUACAAUUAUUUUUGUUUGGUUAAUAUGGUUAUAUUAGUAUAAUUUUUUUUGGUAAGUUAAUUUUAAAGUUAAUGUUUUCUUAUAAGUGUUUGGAUGUUUUGAAAAAGGAACUCGGCAAAUAUUAUUUCCGCCUGUUUAACAAAAACAUGUCCACGUGGAUAGUUUAGCGUGGUUUGGCCUGCCCACUGAUGUAAAUAUUAAAGGGCCGCAGUAUUUUGACUGUGCAAAGGUAGCAUAAUCAUUAGUUUUUUAAUUGAGGACUUGUAUGAAUGGUCUGACGAGAAAUAUUCUGUCUUUUUCAUAUUUUUUGAAUUUAACUUUUAGGUGCAAAGGCCUAAAUGAUUCAGGGGGACGAUAAGACCCUAUAAAUCUUUACAUUUGUCUUUUUGUUAGAAUUAUUUAUUUGUUUAUAAGUAGUAAGUAGGUUAAAUGUUGUGCUGGGGCGGCAUAGAUAUAAUAUCUAACUGUUUUAUUAUAGUACAAUUAUUUUUGUUUAUUUUAAUCGGUCCUUUUUAGAGAUUAGAAGUUUAAGUUACUUUAGGGAUAACAGCGUUAUUUUUUUUAAGAGUUCAUAUCUAAAAAAAAGUUUGCGACCUCGAUGUUGAAUUAAAAUUUCCUUGUGGUUGCAGAAGCUACGGAGGAGAGUCUGUUCGACUUUUAAAAAUUUACAUGAUUUGAGUUCAGACCGGCGUGAGCCAGGUUGGUUUCUAUCUCCUGUAAGUGACAAAUUAUCUUAGUACGAAAGGAUUAGGUAGUUGAAAUAUUUUUAUUAUAAGAAUUAUAUUGUUAUUAAAUUAACUGGAUUUACAGUCUGGGGUACAAUUGUGGAUAUAACUAAAC
rnacentral:rRNA from 1 species